rnacentral:tRNA from 1 species
AGAAACUUAGGAUAGACACAAACCAGAGGCCUUCAAAGCCCCAAACAAGAGCUCAACACUCUUAGUUUCUG